AUGGUAGGCGCCGAUGUACGUCGAUACUCUAGUGAGCUCUUACGGAGGCAAAGUUACUUAGUGUGACUUAGUGCUAUUCAUAGUAUUAGUGCUAUUCAGAGUAUAUCCAGAUAUUCUUUAGUGGUUUCCCGUAUUUUAGAAAACCCGAACGCGAUGGAGUUGCUGAUACAGGUAUCACUGGGCCUACUGACCAUUGGGCUGUGGAUUGUCAGGAAGAAAUUUGGAGACUGGCUUAGGUCAAAAAGCAGAGAAUGGCUGAGGUCGAGGUCAAAAUGCAUCGAGGAGAGGAAAGUCGAGAGAAAUGAGGAAGAAAACAAAGAUUUGACGAGAACAAUUCCGACGAGUGUAAACUACCAUUUUACAAGGCAAUGCAAUUACAAAUGUGGCUUCUGCUUUCACACAGCCAGCACCUCCUUUGUUCUUCCUCUGGAGGAAGCCAAGAGAGGCCUGAGGGAUGCUCAGAGAU